ACGGAAAGCAGCAGUGGGGAAUAUUGCACAAUGGGGGAAACCCUGAUGCAGCGACGCCGCGUGAGUGAAGAAGUAUCUCGGUAUGUAAAGCUCUAUCAGCAGGGAAGAAAAUGACGGUACCUGACUAAGAAGCCCCGGCUAACUACGUGCCAGCAGCCGCGGUAAUACGUAGGGGGCAAGCGUUAUCCGGAUUUACUGGGUGUAAAGGGAGCGUAGACGGCGAUGCAAGUCUGAAGUGAAAGGCGGGGGCUCAACCCUUGGACUGCUUUGGAAACUGUAUUGCUAGAGUGCAGGAGAGGUAAGUGGAAUUCCUAGUGUAGCGGUGAAAUGCGUAGAUAUUAGGAGGAACACCAGUGGCGAAGGCGGCUUACUGGACUGUAACUGACGUUGAGGCUCGAAAGCGUGGGGAGCAAACAGGAUUAGAUACCCUGGUA
rnacentral:rRNA from 1 species